AUAGACCCUAUACCUGGCGUAUAAGACGACCCCCGACUUUGGAGAAGAUUUUCCAGGGUUAAAAAGUCAUCUUAUACGCCAGAAAAUACAGUAAAUCCAAGCCCAAAGAGUAAUUCUUUCCAUUCUGUUAAAAUUAGACCCUGGGCAACACACGGGUCAGGAAAACCCCAAUUUCAAAAUAGAAUCUUUAGAAAGAAAGUGCUCUGCUUAACACCAAUCCAAGUAACAGGAUUCUAAAAACCAUGCACUUUAAAUCACAGGACUCUUGCAUGCCCAGUGGUGUGGAAUGCACACCACACAUGCACCUGAGAGAUUGCAUCAUUGCGGACGCUACCAUUCAUUCUCAGAAAAACAUACAUGAAGACACCGUUGCAGUAGGCAUUUACAAACCCGCCUGUAACUAUACCAGACUCCUUGCCGCUGCAGACACUUUAAAUUCUAUGCUAAUAGUGGCACAGUGAAGCCGAAUGCAGGGUAAAAAAAAUAAAAAAAUAAAAGAAUUUUCUGCAUUUAAAACUAAAAUCCUGCAGAUAUAUAAAUUCAUGUAGAAUAUAACAAAGGCAUUUGGAGGCACUAGAUGCCUAAAAACUAACUAGUUAUAUAAUGCUUAAAUGCACUCACAUAAUACAGAAAUCCAAUGACAGGAUUAUCACAUCCUAAAAAGCACUCAAGGUAUUAUUACUUGGCUUUUGUGGGUGAGGUCUAUACAAGAAUUGUAUGAUUGCACACAGGAAUAAUAAAAUCUAGUCAACUGUUGCCAGGCAGGUAGUCCUCUGCUGGUCUCCAUGUUGACUCCAAUGCACAAUUAUACUUACAGUAAGUCGUCAUUUGGUAAUCAAAACAGCACUAACAUAUACUGUUGCACUAUACAAUAGAGCACAUACAAGUAAAAACAAAAAACAUGUAGUGAUACAAAAGGAGCUUACAUUCUUGCAAAUACAAAGCUGAUCAAGAUAACUUGUGAGCCUACAAUCUAAAGGUGAUAAUGGGGGGUUAAAGUGAGGUUGCAGGAGUGUUGUGAAGUUGAUGAGACUCAGAUCUGUUGAAUAAAAAAACCCAAAAAGAAACAGACUGAUUUCCAGAACUAAGCUAGCAGUCUAUGGGGCGCGGGGGGGGGAAGAGGUUCAUUUACAGACCAUGGUUUAUCUGCUUUGCCAAGAUUCCCCUUUUCUGUAAAUCAUUAUGUACGGGGAAUCUAUGUAUUAAAGCAUAUCCCUCUUUUAUAUUUAAAUUAAUUUAAGUAAUGGUCACUUCUCUUUGAAUAGUUUAAAACCCUUCUGAAAAGAUACAUUUUAAAUGUUCACUGCUUUAAAAAAUACAAAAUAAAGUUGGCACAGCUUCUGCAUUCUCAUGAAAGAACGAAGAGUGGAUCAGUAUGUCACACUGAUGAUACUCG